GAUGAACGCUGGCGGUAUGCCUAACACAUGCAAGUCGAACGGAGCAUUUCGGUGCUUAGUGGCGGACGGGUGAGUAACGCGUGAGAAUCUGCCUUAGGGAUGGGGACAACAGUGGGAAACCGCUGCUAAAACCCAAUAAGCCGAGAGGUAAAAGUAUUUAUAGCCUUAAGAGGAGCUCGCGUCCGAUUAGUUAGUUGGUGGGGUAAAAGCCUACCAAGGCAGCGAUCGGUAGCUGGUCUGAGAGGAUGAGCAGCCACACUGGGACUGAGACACGGCCCAGACUCCUACGGGAGGCAGCAGUGGGGAAUUUUCCGCAAUGGGCGAAAGCCUGACGGAGCAAUACCGCGUGAGGGAGGAAGGCUUUUGGGUUGUAAACCUCUUUUAUCAAGGAAGAAGAAAGUGACGGUACUUGAAGAAUCAGCAUCGGCUAACUCCGUGCCAGCAGCCGCGGUAAU
rnacentral:rRNA from 1 species